AUGCCGCACCUCUCACCGCCGCUGCCAUCCAUUAUCAGCAAGAGGAACAGAGAGAAAAAGAGUCCCUUAGGCAGGAAGUCCUUCCAUUGUGGGUUUCAAGAUAGGAGUCUAGCACAGCUGUCCUCUGAGAGGCAGCUGACUCAGACGGAUGCAUAGACCUACAGCCAAACAGUGGGGACUCUUACGGAAGAAUAAGAAGAAGGAUGAUGGGCCUUGAAGGAUCUAGGAACUCCACAGGAAGACCAACAGAGUAAAAUAACCUGGACCCUUGCGGCUCUCAGAAGACUGAACCACCAACCAAAGAACUUACCCAGGCUGGACCUGGGCCUCUCUGCACAUAUAUAACAGAUGUGCAGCUUGGUCUUCAUGUAGGUCCAAACAACUGGAGCUGUUGCCUGUGUAUAUGAUAUAUUCUUCUAGCUGACUGUCUUUUCUAGCUUCAGUGGGAGAGGAAGCACCUAGCUUCGCAGAGACUUGGUGUGCAAGGGUGUGGGAGUGACACACAGAGGACACCUACCUGCUCAGAGGAGAAAGGGGUGAGGAUUGUGGGAGGGGGUGACCGGAAGGGAGGCAGUGAGGUGCACAUAAAGUGAAAGUCAAAACAAAACAAAUCAAAAAACAGUUUAAAGAUGUCUGGAUUUUCAAAUACACAAAACUGUGUCACGCGCC
ensembl:lincRNA Gm2861 predicted gene 2861